UACGGGGGGGGCAAGCGUUGUUCGGAAUUACUGGGCGUAAAGGGCCAGUAGGCGGCCAACUAAGUCGGAUGUGAAAUCCCCAGGCUUAACCUGGGAACUGCAUCCGAUACUGGAUGGCUUGAAUUCGGGAGAGGGAUGCAGAAUUCCGGGUGUAGCGGUGAAAUGCGUAGAUAUCUGGAGGAAUACCGGUGGCGAAGGCGGCAUCCUGGACCGACAUUGACGCUGAACGGCGAAAGCUAGGGGAGCAAACGGG
rnacentral:rRNA from 1 species